UCAAGUGGACGCGCUUAGACAAUGAUGCACCAAUGUGACCUGCUGCUGCCGGUGUGGGCUCCGGUGGUGUUGCUGCUGGCCAUGGCCUCCCACGACCAGCGCACGGUGAUUGGCUUGGCUGGCAUCCCAAGCCUCGCCUACCUACUGACUCUGCUACACCCCCUGCCUAGUUGUUGACACCAAGGCUGUGUUGGGUGGUGAAGGUCAAGGACCUGCUGCAAGAGGCAAAUGGUCAUCUACAACAGCAGGCAGCACCUAGCAUGUUCCCUUUGGGGUCUACCCAGCUGCAUUGGACAAUGGUACGCCUUACACGACUGCUGGUGCUGGUGGAAACAAAGAUUUCAGGAACGCUUGGACGGGCCGAACACGAGAAGAGCAAAGCCGCGGUGGACUUCUUGUCGUUGGCUGAGCUGUGGGAGCACUUUGCUGAGAGCGGAGCCUACGGCCUCGCCGUGCUCGUCCGCCUCCUCGGCCACGUCCUACCUCUCCGCCAUCCAGCUAUACACAGCCACCAGCCUCACCAUCUCCAGGAGGAGAAUGGGAGUGAAACGUAUUCCUUCACUCAAUUAGAAACUUGUCAGCUUAUCGUGAACGCUUGGACGGGUCGAACACGAGAAGAGAAAAGCCUCGGUGGACUUCUUGUCGUUGGCUGAGCUGUGGGAGCACUUUGCUGAGAGCAGUGCCUACGGCCUUGCCGUGCUCGUCUGCCUCCUUGGCCACGUCCUACCUCUCCGCCAUCCAGCUAUACACAACCACCAGCUUCACCAUCUCCAUCUCCAGGAGGAGCAUGUGGAGUGAAAUGGAUUCCUUCACUCAAUUAGAAACUUUUCAUCUUGUCAUAUACCCGUGGCUGCGGUUUAUGGCUCGGCAUCAACAUAGGCGGUGGAUGAACCCCUGGAGCCAACCUUCCACUUGUCUCUCGCGCCGAAGUAGAGACCGGUGGUGAUCUCUCUUGGCAGCGGAUGAGGGGAGCAGCUGGUGCCGCCAGAGAGAACACUAUCGUCCUCGCGUCCUACUGCUUGGCAUCAACUAUGGCGAU